rnacentral:rRNA from 1 species
GAGCUUGCUCCUCUGUAUUCAGCGGCGGACGGGUGAGUAAUGCCUAGGAAUCUGCCUGGUAGUGGGGGACAACGUUUCGAAAGGAACGCUAAUACCGCAUACGUCCUACGGGAGAAAGCAGGGGACCUUCGGGCCUUGCGCUAUCAGAUGAGCCUAGGUCGGAUUAGCUAGUUGGUGGGGUAAUGGCUCACCAAGGCGACGAUCCGUAACUGGUCUGAGAGGAUGAUCAGUCACACUGGAACUGAGACACGGUCCAGACUCCUACGGGAGGCAGCAGUGGGGAAUAUUGGACAAUGGGCGAAAGCCUGAUCCAGCCAUGCCGCGUGUGUGAAGAAGGUCUUCGGAUUGUAAAGCACUUUAAGUUGGGAGGAAGGGCAGUAAGUUAAUACCUUGCUGUUUUGACGUUACCGACAGAAUAAGCACCGGCUAACUCUGUGCCAGCAGCCGCGGUAAUACAGAGGGUGCAAGCGUUAAUCGGAAUUACUGGGCGUAAAGCGCGCGUAGGUGGUUUGUUAAGUUGGAUGUGAAAGCCCCGGUCUCAACCUGGGAACUGCAU